GCAUAUCAAUAAGCGGAGGAAAAGAAACUAACAAGGAUUCCCCUAGUAGCGGCGAGCGAAGCGGGAAGAGCUCAAAUUUAUAAUCUGGCACCUUCGGUGUCCGAGUUGUAAUCUCUAGAAAUGUUUUCCGCGUUGGACCGCACACAAGUCUGUUGGAAUACAGCGGCAUAGUGGUGAGACCCCCGUAUAUGGUGCGGACGCCCAGCGCUUUGUGAUACAUUUUCGAAGAGUCGAGUUGUUUGGGAAUGCAGCUCAAAUUGGGUGGUAAAUUCCAUCUAAAGCUAAAUAUUGGCGAGAGACCGAUAGCGAACAAGUACCGUGAGGGAAAGAUGAAAAGCACUUUGGAAAGAGAGUUAACAGUACGUGAAAUUGUUGGAAGGGAAACGCUUGAAGUCAGACUUGCUUGCCGAGCAAUCGGUUUGCAGGCCAGCAUCAGUUUUCCGGGAUGGAUAAUGGUAGAGAGAAGGUAGCAGUUUCGGCUGUGUUAUAGCUCUCUGCUGGAUACAUCUUGGGGGACUGAGGAACGCAGUGUGCCUUUGGCGGGGGUUUCGACCUCU
rnacentral:rRNA from 1 species